rnacentral:rRNA from 1 species
AUUGAACGCUGGCGGCAGGCCUAACACAUGCAAGUCGAACGACUGGCGGACGGGUGAGUAAUGUCUGUGAAACUGCCUGAUGGAGGGGGAUAACUACUGGAAACGGUAGCUAAUACCGCAUACCACCAGAUCUGCCCAGUUGGGAUUAGCUAGUAGGUGGGGUAAUGGCUCACCUAGGCGACGAUCCCUAGCUGGUCUGAGAGGAUAACCAGCCACACUGGAACUGAGACACGGUCCAGACUCCUACGGGAGGCAGCAGUGGGGAAUAUUGCACAAUGGGCGCAAGCCUGAUGCAGCCAUGCCGCGUGUGUGAAGAAGGCCUUCGGGUUGUAAAGCACUUUCAGCGGGGAGGCGAUACGCGAAGAGAAAGCAACGGCUAACUCCGUGCCAGCAGCCGCGGUAAUUC